rnacentral:rRNA from 1 species
AGUGAACGCUGGCGGUAGGCCUAACACAUGCAAGUCGAACGGCAGCACAGUAAGAGCUUGCUCUUACGGGUGGCGAGUGGCGGACGGGUGAGGAAUACAUCGGAAUCUACUUUUUCGUGGGGGAUAACGUAGGGCCACUUACGCUAAUACCGCAUACGACCUACGGGUGAAAGCAGGGGAUCUUCGGACCUUGCGCGUUUGAAUGAGCCGAUGUCGGAUUAGCUAGUUGGCUGGGUAAAGGCCCACCAAGGCGACGAUCCGUAGCUGGUCUGAGAGGAUGAUCGGCCACACUGGAACUGAGACACGGUCCAGACUCCUACGGGAGGCAGCAGUAGGGAAUAUUGGGCAAUGGGCGCAAGCCUGAUCCAGCCAUACCGCGUGGGUGAAGAAGGCCUUCGGGUUGUAAAGCCCUUUUGUUGGGAAAGAAAAGCAGCAGGUUAAUACCCCGCUGUUCUGACGGUACCCAAAGAAUAAGCACCGGCUAACUUCGUG